GGACGAACGCUGGCGGCGUGCUUAACACAUGCAAGUCGAACGGAAAGGCCCUGCUUUUGUGGGGUGCUCGAGUGGCGAACGGGUGAGUAACACGUGAGUAACCUGCCCUUGACUUUGGGAUAACUUCAGGAAACUGGGGCUAAUACCGGAUAGGAGCUCCUGCUGCAUGGUGGGGGUUGGAAAGUUUCGGCGGUUGGGGAUGGACUCGCGGCUUAUCAGCUUGUUGGUGGGGUAGUGGCUUACCAAGGCUUUGACGGGUAGCCGGCCUGAGAGGGUGACCGGCCACAUUGGGACUGAGAUACGGCCCAGACUCCUACGGGAGGCAGCAGUGGGGAAUAUUGCACAAUGGGCGGAAGCCUGAAGCAGCAACGCCGCGUGCGGGAUGACGGCCUUCGGGUUGUAAACCGCUUUCGCCUGUGACGAAGCGUGAGUGACGGUAAUGGGUAAAGAAGCACCGGCUAACUACGUG
rnacentral:rRNA from 1 species